UACGUAGGGCGCAAGCGUUAUCCGGAAUUAUUGGGCGUAAAGAGCUCGUAGGCGGUUUGUCGCGUCUGCCGUGAAAGUCCGGGGCUCAACUCCGGAUCUGCGGUGGGUACGGGCAGACUAGAGUGAUGUAGGGGAGACUGGAAUUCCUGGUGUAGCGGUGAAAUGCGCAGAUAUCAGGAGGAACACCGGUGGCGAAGGCGGUUCUCUGGGCAUGACCUGACGCUGAGGAGCGAAAGCAUGGGGAGCGAACAGG
rnacentral:rRNA from 1 species